rnacentral:rRNA from 1 species
AGCGAACGCUGGCGGCAGGCUUAACACAUGCAAGUCGAGCGCCCGUAGCAAUACGGGAGCGGCAGACGGGAGAGUAACACGUGGGAACAUGCCCUUCGGUUCGGAAUAACUCAGGGAAACUUGAGCUAAUACCGGAUACGUCCGUAAGGAGAAAGAUUUAUCGCCGAAGGAUUGGCCCGCGUCCGAUUAGCUUGUUGGUGAGGUAAUGGCUCACCAAGGCGACGAUCGGUAGCUGGUCUGAGAGGAUGAUCAGCCUCACUGGGACUGAGACACGGCCCAGACUCCUACGGGAGGCAGCAGUGGGGAAUAUUGGACAAUGGGCGCAAGCCUGAUCCAGCCAUGCCGCGUGGGUGAUGAAGGCCUUAGGGUUGUAAAGCCCUUUCGGCGGGGAAGAUAAUGACGGUACCCGCAGAAGAAGCCCCGGCUAACUUCGUGCCAGCAGCCGCGGUAAC